GAUACAAAAACGCCAAGCUACUGCAUGGAACCACGUGCCACUGGAACAUGUCGUGAAUAUGUCAUUGCUUGGUAUUUUGACCAUACCACAAACAACUGCAAAAUAUUUCUAUAUGGCGGCUGCGGCGGAAAUGAGAACAAGUUUUCUUUAGAAAUGAGGUGCCCGAAGAUGUGCCUCCAUGGAUAUGCCUGCCUUAUCCUCAAGGUCACUGCGGAAGAAAAGGAAACAACGCGUUUGAAUCAUGUGUUGAGUGCAUGAACAGAUGCACCGACAGGAACUCACGUAACGUAUGCAAGAUGGUGGAGAGAAGAAUUUUGGCAAGAGGACGAAACAGGCGUAACCAAACAAGGACGAACAAAUUUUCGUAACAGGCCUUGCCAGCUGUUAAACGAAAGAAGCUUGCAGGUCAGAAGGAAGUCGGCAGGGAGAAUGGAACAAUUUUCAAUGUGCAAAUGCUCUGCAGAUGGCUGCCCGGUAUUGUAAGCGCGAAACCUUCGCAACGCCAACUUUCUGCGUGAUGCAUUUGAAUGAGAAGGACAUUCGGACUCCAGAGCGGGCUAUUUUAAAAGCAUUAAAAAGACAAAUAAAUGCUAUCACUA